AUACGGAGGGUGCAAGCGUUAAUCGGAAUCAUUGGGCGUAAAGCACACGUAGGCGGCCCAACAAGUUGGAUGUGAAAGCCCGGGGCUCACCCCCGGAAGUGCGCUGGAAACUGGUCAGCUAGAGUAUGGGAGAGGAGGGUGGAAUUCCUGGUGUAGCGGUGAAAUGCGUAGAUAUCAGGAGGAACACCGGUGGCGAAGGCGGCCCUCUGGACGGAUACUGACGCUGAGACGCGACAGCGUGGGGAGCAAACAGGAUUAGAUACCCCAGUAGUCC
rnacentral:rRNA from 1 species